AGAGUUUGAUCAUGGCUCAGAUUGAACGUUGGCGGCACGCCUAAUACAUGCAAGUCGAACGAGAAAGCACUCCGGUGCGAGUACAGUGGCGGACGGGUGAGUAACGCGUAGGAAUCUACCUAGUAGUGGGGGACAACUCGGGGAAACUCGAGCUAAUACCGCAUAGGCUCUAAGGAGGAAAGUGGGGGAUCUUCGGACCUCACUCUAUUAGAGGUGCCUGCGUUAGAUUAGCUAGUUGGUGAGGUAAAGGCUCACCAAGGCUACGAUCUAUAGCUGGUCUGAGAGGACGAUCAGCUACACUGGAACUGAGACACGGUCCAGACUCCUACGGGAGGCAGCAGUAGGGAAUCUUGGGCAAUGGGCGAAAGCCUGACCCAGCGAUGCCGCGUGUGCGAAGAAGGCCUUAGGGUUGUAAAGCACUUUCAGUAGCGAAGAAAAGCUGCGAUUUAAUACGUCGCGGUCUUGACGUUAACAACAGAAGAAGUACCGGCUAACUCCGUGCCAGCAGCCGCGGUAAUACGGAGGGUACGAACGUUAAUCGGAAUUACUGGGCGUAAAGCGCGCGUAGGCGGUUUGAUAAGUGGGAUGUGAAAGCCCCGGGCUCAACCUGGGAACUGCAUUCCAAACUGUCAGACUAGAGUGUGGUAGAGGGAGGUAGAAUUUCCUGUGUAGCGGUGAAAUGCGUAGAUAUAGGAAGGAAUACCGAUGGCGAAGGCAGCCUCCUGGACCUACACUGACGCUGAGGUGCGAAAGCGUGGGGAGCAAACAGGUUUAGAUACCCUGGUAGUCCACGCCGUAAACGAUGAGAACUAGCCGUUGGGGCCUUUAAGGCCUUGGUGGCGCAGCUAACGCGAUAAGUUCUCCGCCUGGGGAGUACGGCCGCAAGGUUAAAACUCAAUUGAAUUGACGGGGGCCCGCACAAGCGGUGAAGCAUGUUCUUUAAUUCGAUGCAACGCGAAGAACCUCACCACCCCUUGACA
rnacentral:rRNA from 1 species